CGGGGUAGAGUAACGCGUGAGGAACCUGCCUCAAAGAGGGGGACAACAGUUGGAAACGACUGCUAAUACCGCAUAAGCCCACGGCUCGGCAUCGAGCAGAGGGAAAAGGAGCAAUCCGCUUUGAGAUGGCCUCGCGUCCGAUUAGCUGGUUGGUGAGGUAACGGCCCACCAAGGCGACGAUCGGUAGCCGGACUGAGAGGUUGAACGGCCACAUUGGGACUGAGACACGGCCCAG
rnacentral:rRNA from 1 species